rnacentral:rRNA from 1 species
GACGAACGCUGGCGGCGUGCCUAAUACAUGCAAGUCGAGCGAGACUCUUCGGAGUCUAGCGGCGGACGGGUGAGUAACACGUGGGCAACCUGCCUGUAAGACUGGGAUAACACCGGGAAACCGGUGCUAAUACCGGAUAAUCCUUUUCUUCUCAUGAGGAAAAGCUGAAAGACGGUUUCGGCUGUCACUUACAGAUGGGCCCGCGGCGCAUUAGCUAGUUGGUGAGGUAACGGCUCACCAAGGCGACGAUGCGUAGCCGACCUGAGAGGGUGAUCGGCCACACUGGGACUGAGACACGGCCCAGACUCCUACGGGAGGCAGCAGUAGGGAAUCUUCCACAAUGGACGAAAGUCUGAUGGAGCAACGCCGCGUGAGCGAUGAAGGCCUUCGGGUCGUAAAGCUCUGUUGUUAGGGAAGAAUGUGCCUGUUUCGAAUAGGGAUAGGUAAUGACGGUAUUAAACGAGAAAGCCACGGCUAACUACGUGCCAGCAGCCGCGGUAAUAC